rnacentral:rRNA from 1 species
UACGGAGGGGGCUAGCGUUGUUCGGAAUUACUGGGCGUAAAGCGCGCGCAGGCGGUUCUUUAAGUCUGAUGUGAAAGCCCACGGCUCAACCGUGGAGGGUCAUUGGAAACUGGGGAACUUUGAGUACAGAAGAGGAAAGCGGAAUUCCACGUGUAGCGGUGAAAUGCGUAGAGAUGUGGAGGAACACCAGUGGCGAAGGCGGGUCUCUGGGCCGAUACUGACGCUGAGGAGCGAAAGCGUGGGGAGCGAACAGG